GGGUGUUGCAAGCGCCCCUUCCGGCACUUGAGGCAUUGGGGCCUGUCUGGUUCUUUGGCCAGCCUGGGCUCUGGAGCCCUCAUCCACCCUGCGCCUGGUCUCCCUCUCCAACGCAACGCCUCCCACCCCAUUUCCGCGAAGGCUGCUCACCGGGUGUGCCCCAAGUUGCGCGCCCCGUCCCGGAACGCAGGCGCGGCUGUGCAGGCCCGGCUGUGCAGGCCCCCGGCUGGCUCCUCGGGGAGGAGGCGGCUGUCCUGCAGGAGGCGCGCUCCGGGCUGAGACCUGGGGCAGGAGCGCGUCACGGCGGGCGGGUGGGGCUGGCGGGAAGACCGCGAGGGAGGGCGCGUCUGGGGGCACCGGUGACCCGCGGGUGGGGGUAGAAAGCUUGGGCCGAGCCAGCGACGGGGAGAGUCGGCGAGUCCGCUUCAGAGUCCAGGCUGUGACAGGAGGGCAGGGGCCUGCAGGGAGCCUUAGGUGCGGCGCCGGCCCCCGGGAGCGGCAGGUACCGCGCGGCGCGACCCCGGGACCUCGGGCGCCGCGGGAGGGAGGCAGGGAGGGGCCCCAGCGAGGAGCCCAGCCCACCCGAGCAGGGUCAGGGUCACCCGAGGCGGCACCCGCGGAUCCCGGGCCACCACGCCGGCAGGAAGCCGUCCCAGGACCCAAAGGUUUCCAUGAGGAUGGAGUCUCUGAAGACAGAACUGGGCUUUGAUCAUUUCAGUGGAUGGAUGCCACAGCUUUCCAAAUCUGGCCAUGGAAAGAAUACCUCACUUCCAGCCAAAGGCCCUGCAUUCUCCCACACUGUCCACACUGGACAAGGGAGGAGACAUAGUCACAGGGCAUAUGCCACACACAAAAGAAGGUCAGAGGCUCUUGACUGACAUUUUCCAGGAAUAAGAUUUUGGUGGUUUGAAAAACUAU
ensembl:lncRNA